rnacentral:tRNA from 1 species
GCCAGCGUAGCUCAGGGGUAGAGCAGCGGUUUCGUAAACCGCCGGUCGUCGGUUCGAAUCCGACCGCUGGCUCUA